rnacentral:lncRNA from 10 species
AUUUCAAAUAGCUUUAGGACAGAAAAUCAAACCAAAACAGGAGAACACUUCUUGUUUCCAGUUCCCUGCAGAGAUAAUUUUCAUUUUCGGUGGAGAAGUGUGCUAGCGAGGAGUGCUGUCAGCUCCAGCAGAGCCAGGCACCCAUGCUUAGGCUCCUUCCCUGAAAAGCGGCAGGAGGGCUGACCUCACCAGAUCGUUUGGCUGAUUAGACCUAUUCGCAUAUUCAUAUGCAAAAAGUGCUGCCUCUGUCUUGCUGUUCACUGUCUCCGAGGCUGCAGAGGUGUGUCAGCAAGUCCUCUGGGUAAAAACCAGCUGGCUCCUGGGCCAUCAUGUGAAAGAUGCAAACGCGUCUCCAUGAGGAAGAGCAAGGCUCCUGCAGGAUGGAGAUCAGAUGGAUCAGGGAUCCCACAGACAGAACCUUUUGCCUGAUAUGAGCACCCUUGGGAGAGACCUCUUCACACAAAUGUUCCUUGCAAGGAAAACACUCCUGCCUCACUUUCUUCAACCCAGCCAUGACCUUUCUUGGGACAGGGUCACACCAGGGUUACAGCAUCUGCCUCCCAGCCUCCCAGCUGGCCAGCCCUUCUGCAGUGGCUCAGCCGCAGACCCCUCCUGCACACCACAGCCAAAAACGAUUCUGCCAGGACUACAGCAUCCCGUGAAACUGACGCUUAAUGAUGCAGAACUCCACGUUUCCUGUCGUCAACUUGUCAUCAUUUUCCUUCCCAGAACCCCCAGCACCUCUGACACCGACCUGGAUCUCUACUCCAGAAACUCAAAACCCAUUUUUGCCACACCGUCACGCUAGCUCUCCUUUGCUCCCCUAAUCCAGGUCCCCGUUUCUCUGCACCUGUGCCCACCACCGGGAAUCUCUCCUGUUAAGUCGCCUCCUCCAUCCCGCCUUCUCCUGACCCCGUUGGCCCAUGCGUCUUUGAACUUUUGCAGAAUUUGCAUCUGUAACAAAUUACUUGCUAUUUAAUUAUGUUCUGUCAUAUUAUUCCUGUUGAAUUUGGCUGAGAACCAUGCGCUCCUUGAAAGCAGAAACUGUCUUUGUUGUUCUGUGUCCUGAUUCAACCCACUAGCCCCAGAGCACGUCUGCAGGAAAGGCCUUCUAAGCUCAGGUCAUCAAGCUCCUCCCAACUGCACUCUUUUACUUCUGUUUUUCCAAGUCGAUCUUUUUUUAAAAAAAAACAAAAAACUUAAAUGAAUUCAUUAUUAAAAAAACUUUUUAUCACCUCCAGAAAUGGAAAACUGUAUCAUUUGCCAUCAGUAGAAUUUGGCUGUAAAAGCAAAUUCCAUGUAAACAGAACAAUGCUGUUGGGUCCUACUUCCUCAGUCUGAGACCUGCUCUUUCUCCCGUGGUCAUGGAGACUCCAAGUUCUAAAGACAUACUAGGAACAGAGAGCAGCUUUUAUUGUAUCCAGAAGAAGAGAGACAGAAAAAAACAGAACCACCUGAAAAGUGAACAACUUCCUCACUCUGUGAUUGGCAGUUGUUGAAUCCAGUGAACAGGCACCACCAAAGAUCACCCUCAGCCCACACCUCAGGACCCUCUGGUACAGACUCCAAAAUCUACCACUUACUGUGUGAGUUCCAAGUAACAAACUCUGAGUAUUAUCUUAUUUAACUCACUCUGGGGUGAGUUCUCUAAGGAAGAACCCAUUAUUAUCCCGCUUUCCAGAUGAGGAAACUGAACAUAGCAGGAGAAAGAAGCUUGACCACAACCACACAGUAGUAAGUGACUAAGUCAGGACCCAGUGAGGAUAAACAGUCAUCCUAAGUUUUAUAAGACAGAAAAUUUAAUUACAGGGACUUCCUAGAUGGUAGAAGAGCCAAAACGUCAGACAAGGGACAUUGAGGCAACCCUGGUGUCCACAGCAUCAGGAAGUGGCUACCACCUCUCAGAUGCACAAGGAAGGAGGCAGUUAUCAGAGCCCAGGAAUCAGACUCACUGAAGGGAAGCUAGAACCAGGGUGGGUCUCUGUGGCAGGAGCUGGCUUGUAGAAGGAAAGAGCCUCCAGGCAAGACAGCCCAACAAACAGAGUCAAGAAGCCCACCCAGACUCCUGUACACACCCAUGUCCCUCCAGGCUUCCCAUUGGUCCAACCCAGUCAGAAGCCAGAGACACAGGAACCCGGGGCUCAUAGCCUGCAGAGGCCAGACCCCCCAUGAUACAGGGCAGAGCAGGGGUGGAUGGGAGGAGGGGGAUGCUUUGAGACCACCAGGCACAGGCUCACCCAGGUGGUCUUAUUCUGGGGUCUUUUCACUCACACAAACCAUGUUGUAGUUGACUAUUGGAUUUCAUGAGAUAAGAGUUCAUGUGUGUUCUUCCCCAUUCCAAGAAGAGGUGGGCUCUUCCUACUUCCUAGCUACCUG